GAUGAACGCUAGCGGCAGGCCUAAUACAUGCAAGUCGAACGGAUAUAUGUUUUUCGGAAUAUAUAUUAGUGGCGCACGGGUGAGUAACACGUACAUAACUUGCCCUCAAGCGGGGGAUAGCCUUGGGAAACUGAGAGUAAUACCCCAUAGAAUUAUUGGACGGCAUCGUUUGAUAAUUAAAACUACGGUGUUUGGGGAUAGAUGUGCGUCUGAUUAGCUAGUUGGUGAGGUAACUGCUCACCAAGGCGACGAUUCAGUAGGGGGCGUGAGACGCGUUGGCCCCCCCANACGGGGUACUGA
rnacentral:rRNA from 1 species